UGCAGUCGAACGCUGAAGCUCCCAGCUUGCUGGGGGUGGAUGAGUGGCGAACGGGUGAGUAACACGUGAGUAACCUGCCCCGAACUCUGGGAUAAGCGCUGGAAACGGCGUCUAAUACUGGAUAUGUCCUAUCACCGCAUGGUGUGUAGGUGGAAAGAAUUUUGGUUCGGGAUGGACUCGCGGCCUAUCAGCUAGAUGGUGAGGUAAUGGCUCACCAUGGCGACGACGGGUAGCCGGCCUGAGAGGGUGACCGGCCACACUGGGACUGAGACACGGCCCAGACUCCUACGGGAGGCAGCAGUGGGGAAUAUUGCACAAUGGGCGCAAGCCUGAUGCAGCAACGCCGCGUGAGGGAUGACGGCCUUCGGGUUGUAAACCUCUUUUAGUAGGGAAGAAGCGAAAGUGACGGUACCUGC
rnacentral:rRNA from 1 species